rnacentral:rRNA from 1 species
UACGGGGGGGGGCGAGCGUUGUUCGGAAUUACUGGGCGUAAAGCGAGUGUAGGCGGUUUGGUAAGUCGGAUGUGAAAGCCCCGGGCUCAACCCGGGAAGUGCACUCGAUACUGCCAAGCUAGAGUAUCGGAGAGGUUGGUGGAAUUCUCGGUGUAGAGGUGAAAAUUCGUAGAUAUCGAGAGGAACACCCGGUGGCGAAAGGCGGCAU